UACGUAGGGUGCAAGCGUUGUCCGGAAUUAUUGGGCGUAAAGAGCUCGUAGGCGGUCUGUCGCGUCGGCUGUGAAACCCGGGGCUCAACCCCGGGCCUGCAGUCGAUACGGGGCAGGCUAGAGUUCGGCAGGGGGAGACUGGAAUUCCUGGUGUAGCGGUGAAAUGCGCAGAUAUCAGGAGGAACACCGGUGGCGAAGGCGGGUCUCUGGGCCGAUACUGACGCUGAGGAGCGAAAGCGUGGGGAGCGAACAGG
rnacentral:rRNA from 1 species